AAGUUAUACAAUGGGUUGUCGUAAAAAGUCGGUGAAAGAUGAAGAGUUCAGGAUGGAGCAGUUUCUAAAGGGAGAAAAGGGCUGACUUUCCUCUUCUCCUCAACAUCUCCACUACAUGCUGUUAUUAAUCACAGCACUUUCUCUUUUAGUUUUUGAUCAUUAAAUUGAACUGGACGGAAUGCGAUUAAAAUAAUUCCGUUUCCAACUCGUCAAAGAGUCGGUUCAAAAAGUAGAAUCAGUUUUCCAAAAGUGAAAGUGUUUCUCAUCCUCGACUCCAUUUGGAUUAGAUUCAACUUUAUUGUCAUUACACAUGUACAAGUACAAGGCAAUAAAAUGCGUUUUGAGGAGCGGUUAGAAAAACACAAAGAUCUUCAACAGCAGCCAGAAUUGGUGAGAUUCAUGUCCAACAACAAGCAGUGCUGAAGAAAAGUGGGAGUGUGAUUGAUUCCAGCAGAAGAGAUUGGCAUCUUCAGGACUCUGCAUGUACACGAGCAUUGAAAAAUGGAGAUCCCUGAUCAGGGGACAGAUCAUGUGACCUCACCCUCAAAAGACUGUAAACUACAGAGAGAGAAAACAGAACUGAAUCAGAAUGAAAAUCAGCAUUUUCCUCAACCUAAACUCCCACUUCCCAAAACCAUGUCAGUAGGUGGAAAUCUUCAUCAGAAGAUGAUGUGAGACGAGAGAUCAGAAUUUCAGCUUUCAUUUCCUGAAAGGUUCGGUGCAGUGUUCUAAGUGAUGUAACACAUCUGGAUGUAAAGAUCAGGAACUGAAAGCUGGAAUUCUGAUCUAUUUUUUCAUUUUCAUCUUUUACUCUCAAAUCCAAA